rfam:Canis lupus familiaris chromosome 8, whole genome shotgun sequence.
CGGGGGAGGCCGGAUCCUGGGCUGUGUCCCGGCGCCCUGUGCUCCGGGGCCUGCGCUGUUGGAUUCGCGCUCCCGGGCCGCGCAACUCCCU